CAGUCGUGCUGGCGCGAAAUCUACCCGCCCGCUGAGCGAUCACCUGUCGUGGCGAGCCUCAAAACCGCCACGGCUCGUGACCACUUGAUGGUCUGGUGCACUUUUGUGUCGGCUGGUUAACGUCAAUUUCUCACGUCAUAAAAAGGCUGGAGGGAUGUGGCUCCUUCGGGAGUGUUAUAACCUUUGGCGGAAUGU
rnacentral:rRNA from 1 species